rnacentral:lncRNA from 1 species
GCUCUUCAACUUCGUACUUUAUUUGUCACUGAUGAGUCUUUUGUAGACGAAACGCGCGUCUGGCGUAUAUAUAAAAUUUAGUCCUGGUAUCUAUGAUGAGUUUAUUUGAUAACUCUGCACAACAUAUUCAUAGAUAGUUAAGAUACAAGUUUCUGAAUUGUUUGAUGACAUGUUUUGAAGCAUUCAAAUGGUCUACACAAAAUAUUACAAAACUAUGUGAUACAGACUUGUUUUAUGAUUUUAUGAGAACUUCAAUUUUGU